UAGGGAAAAACCACGGAGAAGGCCAUCCUGUUGAAACAAGAAAAAAAGGAGGCAGGAUAAUUUUUGCCUCUCAUAACAGAGAAAAGAACCUUGUUACUCUAUUAAGAGGACUAUUUAUAUAUACACUGUCAAUCCCUCAUCAGAUGUCUGAUAAAGAUUCUUAUUUAAAUUAAAAUUUGAAAUAGGUUGAUGGAAAAGGAUGGAGAAAUGUGUUAUAAGGUACUGAGAGAUGGCAGACAUACAGGUUAUAUACAACCUCAUUUCUUCAUCUCCAAUAUUAUGCAAAAGCAGUUUGCAAAUACCAUAGUUCAUUCAUAAAUGGUGCCUUUUAGAAAUCAAAAAAAGGUUUUGAAGAAUAUUAAAGAUUUGAUGGCAAAGAACUACCAAAAUGUUUAAUAAAUCCUCAAUAAAAAACCAUUGAAAAGUUUUUCUUCCCUCUGAAAAAUGAAGGAUAAUCCCAGCACUCAGGAGGCUGAGGCAGACCCUACCAAGGUCUCAAGUCGUGCGGAACACGCCAAAUCAGCCCGCUGCAGACAGACACGCCCUACCGAGGUCCCGAGUUGAGUGGAACACACCGAGUCAGCCUGCGCCCUGGCAACAAUCCACUGGACACCCUCCCGCCGCUCCUCUGUACAGCCACCUGGUUCUACACUACAAAGACGCAGAGGACACCGGACCACCAGACCAUGGUACUGAGUCCCGCAGCUCCCGGCCCAGAGGUAGAGGCUUCUGAGCUGCCACCCCACUGUUUCUGGACCAGAGGAAGGGGCUUCCUGGCCACCAUCCCUCCCGCUGCUCCCAGCCCACAGGAAAGGGCUUUUGGGCCACCAUCCCUACCGCUGCUCCUGGCCCCUGUCCCACCUCUCCCAGCUCAGAGGUAAUCCGUGCAGGUGCCAACAGCACACACCCCCCCCCCCAGUCGAAAUGAGAAAACACAUAAGUAAGUCUCAAAACCAGACUUCCAGAUCACCUACAGCAACCCCAAAGGGAAAUGAGAUGGAACCCUCUGGUACUCAACCACCUGGACCCACUGAACUGGCAACAAAAGGGGAUCUGGAAAAAAUGAAAUCAGAAAUAAUUUCUCAGAUAACAGGAGAAAUUGUGCCCUUAGUGCAAGACAUGACUAAUAAACCUAGAGAGGAGCUGAGGAACAUGAUGGAAUCCCAACAUAAGAAACAAAUGGAAUCCAUAAAACAGAUGCAAAUAGAUUUCCAGGACAUGAAAAACUCCACUGAAAGUCUACACAGCAGAAUGAGCCAGUGUGAGGACAGAAUUUCAGAUAUAGAAGAUAAGAUUGCAAUUAGUGACCAGGAAAAGAAAAAUUGCUUCAAAAUUCUAAGGGAACAUGAGAAAUCAAUCCAGCAGCUGCUAG
rnacentral:lncRNA from 1 species